CGAAUAUUUUUUAAUCCAAAUUACUGCAACAAUGACUCAAUAAAUCUAUACAAAAGUGAGACCCCAGAAUUGGGUGGCGGCCGGUGACUUCCGGCUUCACUUUUGUAUAGUAUACUGAUGCGUUUACAUACAGUAUCCAGUCUUAUUUCAGAUCAUUGGACUAUACUGAAAACUCAAAAGUAGCAAGAGAAGUCAGAGAAUGUCAACAUCCCUGCUGCUGAUAAAAAUUCAGCGGUGUUCAGUAAAUAUUUCUUAAUGUAUUGAUAUGUAUUGUGUACAUGAAUUAAGGUAUGUGAUUUUAUGUAAAAUUAAAAUUUUAGUGUGCUUUGUCUCGGAACUCGCGGAAACUCGCGGAAAUAGCUACAUGAAAAUAAUAUAUUGGUGUUCCGAGCGAUCAAGUGUCUUCGUUUGGAGGUUCAUAGUAUGUGCAUGUCACCGUACUACUCACCUUCUGAGUUCGAAUAGUUUCGUGCCUCGAUUGUGUUUUUAAUCCAAGCUGUGCAACACUGCCGGGCAACAAUGGCCACGUAUUGGCAAUAAUAAAAUCUAAUUUAACAUGCAGUAAAAAGCUUUCCUUUAUUGAAUGAUACUAUAUUAAUGCUAAUAUGUUGACCAUUUAGCCACCAGCACUGAAGGUUCUUAAAAUAAUGGGCUUUUGGUAUGCAUUUGUAGGUGAUACAAGUCAUAUAACUACCUGCAAAAUAAAAAUCACUUUAAUUAUUAAUAAACCUAUAGGCUAUAUUAAUUAAACGGGUUCGCUGUUUGUAGUUUUCUCGUUUUCUCUACCUACACUGCCACUAGAACCGACCGGCUGUUCGAGAUCUUUAUACUGUAAAAUAUUGCACUGAUCCAGUAUUCGUAAACGAUUCCUAUCGAAUCUAAUUUGUAAACUAUGAUAAAUCCAAAUAUACAGUAUAAAACUACAGAGCAGAUACUGUAUAAAGAAGAGCCGGCGUAUUUGUACAUGUAUUUGAAAAUUUGUACAUUUCUAGGAGUGAGUUUACAAACUCUUGAACAACGCUAACGGUGCGUCUGCCAACAGGCAAAAACCACUUAUUACAAAGGUGAUAGACGUUUAAAGAAAACACAUGAACAUGAGUCAUGAGAACAAGGGACAAUUACUGUAAAGCAGAUAAACUUUUGACACGUUUGAAUCUCAGGUUA